rnacentral:lncRNA from 1 species
GUUCAAGAGAAGUCUGAGUCUGAUGUCAGAAGAUGUAACCAAAGAAAAUAAACAAAAUGACAAUAAUACACAAAUAACAACAGACUACUAGCAGUUAACUGACAUGCCAGCUCCAGACUUCAAUUAAACUGACUGAAAGAUUAUGAUUUCAUCAUAUGAACAUCAGGCACAAUCCUUCCCGUUAGGGGUUUAGUAUCAUACCAUCAUAACAUAUAUGAGAAGAACAUAACCCGUGUCAUGCCAACAACUGUUUUUAGAAUAAAUGUGUUUAGUUCCGAUGCAAAGACCCCCCC